rnacentral:rRNA from 1 species
AAGUCGUAACAAGGUUUCCGUAGGUGAACCUGCGGAAGGAUCAUUACUAGAGCAAAGGAUAGACAGCGCCCGCGGAGCCUUGCUCCCUGGGGCUACCCUACUUCGGUAAGGUUUAGAGUCGUCGGGCCUCUCGAAGAAGCUCGGUCCUGAACUCCACCCUUGAAUAAAUUACCUUUGUUGCUUUGGCGGGCCGCCUCGUGCCAGCGGCUUCGGCUGUUGCGUGCCCGCCAGAGGACCACAACUCUUGUUUUUAGUGAUGUCUGAGUACUAUAUAAUAGUUAAAACUUUCAACAACGGAUCUCUUGGUUCUGGCAUCGAUGAAGAACGCAGCGAAAUGCGAUAAGUAAUGUGAAUUGCAGAAUUCAGUGAAUCAUCGAAUCUUUGAACGCACAUUGCGCCCUCUGGUAUUCCGGGGGGCAUGCCUGUUCGAGCGUCAUUAUAACCACUCAAGCUCUCGCUUGGUAUUGGGGUUCGCGGUCUCGCGGCCCCUAAAAUCAGUGGCGGUGCCUGUCGGCUCUACGCGUAGUAAUACUCCUCGCGAUUGAGUCCGGUAGGUAUACUUGCCAGCAACCCCUAAUUUUUACAGGUUGACCUCGGAUCAGGUAGGGAUACCCGCUGAACUUA